rnacentral:rRNA from 1 species
UACGUAGGGGGCAAGCGUUGUCCGGAUUUAUUGGGCGUAAAGAGCGUGUAGGCGGUCAGGUAGGUCCGUUGUGAAAACUCGAGGCUCAACCUCGAGACGCCGAUGGAAACCAUCUGACUAGAGUCCGGAAGAGGAGAGUGGAAUUCCUGGUGUAGCGGUGAAAUGCGCAGAUAUCAGGAAGAACACCCGUGGCGAAGGCGGCUCUCUGGUACGUGACUGACGCUGAGACGCGAAAGCGUGGGGAGCGAACAGG